rnacentral:rRNA from 1 species
GACGAACGCUGGCGGCGUGCUUAACACAUGCAAGUCGAACGAAGUGGCGACCGGGUGAGUAACGCGUAAUCAACCUGCCCUUCAGAGGGGGACAACAGUUGGAAACGACUGCUAAUACCGCAUACUGAAGGAGGGGAUUGCGUCUGAUUAGCUAGUUGGAGGGGUAACGGCCCACCAAGGCGAUGCUCAGUAGCUGGUUGGAUAGGAUUAACGUCAACAUUGUGCUUGAUACACGGCCCAGAAUCCUACGGGAGGCAGCAGUCGGGAGUCUGCCGCAAUGGACGAAAGUCUGACGGAGCAACGGCGCGUGAGUGAUGAGGGCCUUCGGGUUGUAAAGCUCUCUUAAUCGGGACGCGGUACCGGAAUAGAAAGCCACGGCUAACUACGUGCCAGCAGCCGCGGUAAUUC